rnacentral:tRNA from 1 species
GUCCUGGUGGGCAAAUGGUAAAGUCGCUCGGUUUAGAACCGAGAGUUAUGAGGGUUCGAGUCCCUCUCGGGACACCA